CCACAGACCUGUGGGCAGGAAUUGGUGCCAAUAAGACCUUUGGGCAGCCCCAGUUGGCACGUGGAUCCCAAAGCAAAAUUCAACUUCUCUCUCCCAUUCAAAGAGCAGAAGAGGACGCUCACAACAGAUUAUCUAACACCUUGAACUUGAACUUGGAGAUUGGCUUCCCUCAGCAGGGGUGAACGGAGACAUGAAGGAAGACAGCAGAGCCGCACUGGCUGCAGUUUCUAAAUUGCCAUUUGGGAUAAAGCAGCAAAGGAGAGAAUUGCUCCAAUGCAGUGGUUUGGGAAGAUCCUUGAAACUGCACCAUUGGAUACUCCCCAAAGUGGCUUGAGAAGCCCUGAGGAUUUUUCAGUAAUAGAGACCAGAAGAGGAGGUGGCUGCUGAUUAAUUCCAUGUCAGCCGGGGCUUUCUGUGCUCUGCAUCUAGAAUAGGGCAGUUUCCAAGGUGACUGAAAUGAGCUUGUGAGGAUAAGGUGAGGGCCUGGAGUUACGAGCUGCCAAACUCGUAAACCACGCGGGCUUCCUCUGAGCCACUUGCCAAGCGAUUUAACAACUGACUUGGCGGCAAAGCGUUCCAACCCUAUUUAAUGAUCAGUGCACCUAUAAAUAAGGUUGUAAGGACACUUUGGAUGGAUGUUAAUGUACGGGUUCAGUCCAGAGUGACUAAACCUUGAGUUGUUUUGACCUCGGAGAGCCAUCAGAAAUCUGCUGCGAGGAACAAUCCUGCAGUUGUCCGUGGUGAUGUUUUGUUCCUGUUCAUCAUGUCCUCGGGUGUGUAAUUUACUCACAUGAUAAUAAUGUGAUGCUUGGCACUUGCAGUUUACAGAGUGCCUUCACACACACGUUUUCAUUCGAUCCUGGCAAGACAGGCAUUAUUACUGAGGUUUAGGGGAGACAAGUAACUUGCCCCAGGACGUCCAGAUAGUGGGGGUUGGAGGUAAGUAGGGUAGGGGAAUGGAUUGGCAGUGGUGGUAGCAGAGUCCACAUUUCAGAUAAGGACUAUGUUGCUUCCAAAUUGAUCUUCCUUUCUGAUUCCACCAAAUCCUAUUUCUGGUUUAAAAGACUUGAAACAAUCAGUGACUCCCCUGUCCUCCAAGGGGCCAGCAUAUCACGGUCCAGCUCCCUAGUCUCUCCUUUGAUUGCUUUGUACUCAAAGUAGGCUUGCCAGAUUGAGCAAAUAAAAAUGUAAAACACCUCCUUAAAUUUAAAUUUCACUCCUUUCGCUUCCAAAAAUUUCAGAUAAACUCUUUCAGUAUAAGGAAUUCCCAUGGUAUUUGUCAACUGUAACUUAAAAUACUUAUCAUUAAAACUUUUUUCCUUUAAAAAAUUAAUAUGAAUUACUUACAGAAAAUUUUGAAAAGUCGGUUAAGCAAAAGGAAAGAAAUAGAAAUUACUCCUAAUUUUACCAUCAGAUAAUAUAUAAUGCUUUAAUAGUAACUGUUAACAUUUUGGUAUAUUUACUGUGGGCUCUUUUCCCAUGAAUAUCUUUGUAUGCAUAAAUUUCUUUUUUAAAAAUAAAAAAGGGGCUUACUGACAUUACUACUUUAGACUUGCUUUUUUUUCGCUCAAUAAUAUGUCAUGAACAUCUUUCUGUGCC